AGGACGAACGCUGGCGGCGUGCCUAACACAUGCAAGUCGAACGGGGGUAGCAAUACCCUAGUGGCGAACGGGUGCGUAACACGUGAAGAACUUGUCCAUCGGCGGGGGAUAGCCGGCCCAACGGCCGGGUAAUACCGCGUACGCUUGUCGAGUGGCAUCACUUGACAAGGAAAGCAGCAAUGCACCGAUGGAGAGCUUCGCGGCCUAUCAGCUUGUUGGCGGGGUAAUGGCCCACCAAGGCAACGACGGGUAGCUGGUCUGAGAGGAUGAUCAGCCACAUUGGGACUGAGACACGGCCCAGACUCCUACGGGAGGCAGCAGUGGGGAAUAUUGCGCAAUGGGCGAAAGCCUGACGCAGCGACGCCGCGUGUGGGAUGACGGCCUUCGGGUUGUAACCACUGUCGCGAGGGACGAAAAAUGACGGUACCUCGAAGGAAGCACCGGCUAACUCUGUGCCAGCAGCCGC
rnacentral:rRNA from 1 species